ACACCCUAUAAGAUGAUUGACUUCAGGUGCACUCACCCAGGCUUAGGAUGGAAAGCAGGAGCCUUGAUUCUUUCUCUCUGCUAAACUCUCCAACUUGCCUCCCCCUCAUAGACACCAGGAUAGAAGUCUUGGAGGAGGGAGGGCAAGAGGGAACUGAAAAGAAGAGAUUGAGGUUCUAGCAGUGGAUUGAGUUGGAUGGAACAAGCUUACCAGGACCAGAAGGAGAGAGGCUGGCAUGAGCAGGAAGCUGCAGCAAGAUGGCUUGGGACCUGUUUUGAAGCUGAAAGGGAAAAAAGGCUCACAACAUUGAAAAGAGGAACUGAGAGGUCAGUGAAGACACUGCAAGGAAAGAGCCAUCUGAGAAAUCUGGAGAGGACAGAAAGCUGGUGACAACUGUCAAACUGUCAGGAUUACAAAAGACCGUGGUCCCAUUGCAUGACAGAGGUCAGAAUUUACUGACGCCGGCUGUACUUGCUACUGAGAACAAAGUACUAAG